UACGUAGGGGGCUAGCGUUAUCCGGAAUCAUUGGGCGUAAAGCGCGUGUAGGCGGCCCGGUAAGUCCGCUGUGAAAGUCGGGGGCUCAACCCUCGGAUGCCGGUGGAUACUGUCGGGCUCGAGUACGGAAGAGGCGAGUGGAAUUCCUGGUGUAGCGGUGAAAUGCGCAGAUAUCAGGAGGAACACCGAUUGCGAAGGCAGCUCGCUGGGACGUUACUGACGCUGAGACGCGAAAGCGUGGGGAGCAAACAGG
rnacentral:rRNA from 1 species